AGAACGAACGCUGGCGGCAGGCCUCAAACAUGCAAGUCUAGGGGAUGUAGCAAUACAUCACCGGCGGACGGGUGCGUAACACGUGGGAAUAUACCUUUCGGUACGGAACAACUGCGGGAAACUGCAGCUAAUACCGUAUACGUCCUUACGGAGAAAGAUUUAUCGCCGAAGGAUUAGCCCGCGUUCGAUUAGCUAGUUGGUGAGGUAAUGGCUCACCAAGGCGACGAUCGAUAGCUGUUCUGAGAGGAAGAUCAGCCACACUGGGACUGAGACACGGCCCAGACUCCUACGGGAGGCAGCAGUUGGGAAUCUUGGACAAUGGGGGAAACCCUGAUCCAGCCAUGCCGCGUGAGUGAUGAAGGCCUUGGGUUGUAAAGCUCUUUUACCCGGGAAGAUAAUGACUGUACCGGGAGAAUAAGCUCCGGCUAACUUCGUGCCAGCAGCCGC
rnacentral:rRNA from 1 species